UACGGAGGUGGCAAGCGUUGUCCGGAUUUACUGGGCGUAAAGAGCGCGCAGGCGGUCGGUCAAGUCGAGUGUGAAAGCCCCCGGCUCAACUGGGGAGGGUCAUUCGAUACUGGUCGACUCGAAGGCAGGAGAGGGAAGCGGAAUUCCCGGUGUAGUGGUGAAAUGCGUAGAUAUCGGGAGGAACACCAGUGGCGAAGGCGGCUUCCUGGCCUGUUCUUGACGCUGAGGCGCGAAAGCUAGGGGAGCAAACGGG
rnacentral:rRNA from 1 species